AAGUGUCGGCCGGGAGGCUCGGGGCUCUGCGCUGGAGGAGGGGGCCCCGUGGUGCUGCGGCGGCCGGGGGCGCCGGGCUGGGCGGCAGGAGAGGCGCUGCGCUCACAGAGGGGCAGGGGGGCCGCCACCCCAGCGAAGGCUCCGGCACCCGGAGGACCAUCUGCUACCGGCCCCAGCCCAGAUGAUACAGUUAGAACCUACCCACAGCAUCCUCUCCCGCCUUCAGACAGUUCCAGGAACAAGGAUGUGGCUUGUGAAGAAGGAAAAACAGCAUCCCGGUGCAGAAUGAAACUGCUCCUCCCGUGCACGCUUGCCGCCCCCCUCGUGGUAGCACACUCUGUGCUAGACACAGCAGGGGACCAAGAGCCACUCUCAACAACAAGGAUGCCACCUCCUCCGGAGAAGCUCCUGAA